rnacentral:lncRNA from 1 species
CUAGCUGCACAUUAGGAGCACUUGUGGAGAUUUUUAAGAAGAGAUGACUGGGUCCCACCCUCAGGGACUUUGUUGUGUUCUGGGGUUUUUUGUUGUUGUUUUGUUUUUUUUUUUUAGCUCCAACAGGGAAUCUGAUGCUACAGAGACCGGAAAAGGCUGGUGUGGGACAUGGAGAAAGUUCAUAAACAGAGACUUGAAAGCAGGACUCCACAGAACAAACUUCACAGGUAAAGGGCUGCUGACCCAUAAAGAAGGCUCUGUGAUAGCUUCAUACUGAGGAAUAUGGUUUCCAUAUCAAGACCCUGGGCUAUAAACAGUUUGUGAUAUAUUUUUAUGUAAUUGUUAAUUGUUUAAUAUAGCAUUCCAGUUGAGCCAAAGUCAGCAUAGCUCAGAAUACAAGCUAUCAUCGACCAUGCUCUUCGCCGCAAAGAGACACCGUGCUCCUGGAAACUCAUAGAGGGAACUAUUUAGCCGAGACUAGCCUACAGUUUCAGAGGUUUAGCCCACUGUUUUCGAGACAGGAAGCCUGGCAGCAUGCAGGCGGACACAGUGCUAGAGAGGUAGCUGAGAGUUCUACAUCAGGAACAGCAAGCAGCAGGAAUGUGAUGCCCCCUUCUUCCCCAGGGCUGUUGCCCACCAGCCAGCAAGCACGAAGGAAGCAGAAGUGGGGUGGGGGUGGGGUAGGGCUCGAACAGCUGGGACUGACUUCCAGGAUCAACUUCAAUGAGACAGUUCCACUUUAUUGGGGAUGAACAAGGUUUAUAUAGAUCUUGAGGAGUGGGUAGGUAGGGUGGGAAUACUUCUUUUGCAUGAAGAAGAAUUCCAAGAACCUGCCAGGCAUGUUCAGGUUCAAUGGAAGUGGGGAAGGGGGAGUGUUUAACCUAUAAUCUGGCCAUAGACUAUGUGACUGUGCUCAGAGGUUUUGGGGGGGGGGGGGUUACAGGUGGGAAGUGCUGUACCUCGUUAUCAUUCACAGUAAGGGCUGAGCAGGACCUCGGAGCUGAAUGGAGUAGCAUUUACAGGAAGCUCUGUGCAGGGUCAUCCUCCAGAUAAGGUAGGGCACCUGUGCCUAGAGACAGUCUCUAGAUAAGAUCAGACAGAGAGGAGGAAACCCCGCUGAGAACGGGAGUCCUCCAUUUUGCACCAGGCUGGGAGAGCUUAUCUGGUCACGAUAGACUUUGACCUUAAUAGCAGGGUCUUCCAACACAGGAAGAGAGAGAGAUUGGUCCUGGCUUGAGCAUUUGAAACCUCAAAGUCUACUCCCCAAGCCCUGACCCCAUGACACCCCUCUCCAACAAGACCACAUGUACUCCAACUCACACGUCCUAAUUCUUCAAAUAGUUCACUCCCUGUGAGCCUGUGGGGGCCGUUCUCAUUCAAAUUACCACACAGUCCUUGCAUCAGAAGCAACUGCAUUGCCCAGGAGCUUGUCAGAGAUGCUGGGCCUCCAGCCCAGGCUUGAGUGCUAUAGUGGCUAUUCCUGGUUGUCAACUUGACUAUAUCUGGAAUAAACUACAAUCCAAAAUUGGAAGGCUCACCUGUGAUCCUAAUCUGGAGGCUGGGAGAUACAAGUUUCUGACCUGGAUCUUGGCAUGGAGAUCUUGAGGCAUAGUGGCUAUGAAUCCCAGAAGAUUAAGACAGGGAGAUCUCUGAGUUCAAGGUCAUCUGGGACAAAGCAAGUCCCAGAUCCGGGCAUGGUGGCACACACCUUUAAUCUGGGACGCGCCUUCUGCUGGAGACCUACAUGAGGACACUGCAAGAAGGAAGAUUUACUCUCUCUCUCUCUUUUUCGCCUGCUUGAGUUGUGGGACUGAGCAACUGCUAGAUCCUUGGACUCCCAUUCACAGCUGCUGCUGACCAUUGUUGAGAGUUGGACUACAGACUGUAAGUCAUCAACAAAUUCCCUUACCAUAUAGAGACUACCCAUAAGUUGUGUGACUCUUGAGAAACCUAAAACAAAUGCUCUCCACAAACUGGUGGCAAGAUCCUAUUGCUGAGGUCAACAUCUACACAACUCGUGAAACAUUGACAAGUCAAGCCAGUGCCUGCCUAUACAUAGCCUCACGCCUACUGACUAGGAGUGUCCCUGGUAUGGAACAGGACUCUGCACACUAUCAGAGAAAGGUAAACACUAAUCUAGGUACAAACCCUUUGAUCCUCAAUGGUGACCUGCCUGCAUGACACAUUGGUGACACUAAAUUUGUGGAAGUGACGAACCACUCUCUGAUUGGAUUGAAGGUCCCCUUCAUGAGAUGGAACCCAUGCCUGACACUGCUCAGGUGAUCAAGAACCUGACACUGCCUAGGCCAUGAGCCUAGGGGAAAACUAAAUACUAUUGUUCUGCUAAAGUCCUCUCACUGUCCAUCAUAAGGUCCAGAGAGUUUCCAGGUAUGAUAUCCAGAGAUUUCAGAAGCAGGGAGGUGUUUUAAUAAUAAUAAUAAACAACCAAAAACAUAUCCUGUCUUCGCCAUAUCAAUCGCACCCAGGUCACGGCCUGAGGAUGUUCUCAAGAGGAAAAAUCCUGCUAAUUAGAAGGAGUGAUCAGACACAACCCUCACUACUCCCAGUGCAGUAAUAGAAUACCUACCAGUGAUUCUCAGCCUCACCUGCUGUGGUUUGAUUGUGUCCCUGGGAAGUGGCACUAUUAGGAGCUGUGGCCUUGUUGGGAGGAGGACAUGCAUCACUACUGAAGUCCUAUGCUCAAGCUCAACCAAGUGCCCCCGCCCCAUAGCUUCCUUGCAGAAGAAAAUCUCCACCUGUCUGCCUUCGGAUGAAGAUGUAGAACUCUCAUCUCCUCCAGCACCAUGCCUGUCUGGAUCUUGCCAUGCUUCUGCUUUGAUGAUAAUGGACUGAACAUCUGAAACUGUAAGCCAGCCCCAAUGAAAUGUUGUCCUUUAUAGGAGUUGCCUUGGUCAUGGUGUCCAUUCACAGCAAUGAAACCCUAACUAAGGCACCUUCAGACCAGAAUCACCUUGAUCAAUGGGUCCCACCCCUCAUGAGUGUCUGGUUUGGUUGAUCUGGGGAUGAUGCCAUAGAAUAACCAACCACAUUCAGCUAAUUGUCGGCAUGUGGACAGUCUUGCCUUAUUUAUUCCCCUCAUGGUACCCCUCCUCUCCAAUAGGAGAUUUGAACUCAAGUUCCUUCCACAAUCUACUUCCAUCCAUACACUCUUCUGAGUGUAUCUCUAAACCAGAGGUUGGCAGGAUCGGCCCCAGGAUUUUUUUGUUGUUGUUUGUUUGAGGAAAUAAUAUAACUUUAAGGGUCCAAGAAUCACUGAAAGAAGUCACGCUCAAAUCGUAUCCAAAAGCAAAGAGUGUUUGUCCUUCAGAAACAGCCAGCAUGUGAGAGCUGGGGGGAGAGGGGGAUCAGCCAUUCCUACAAAAUGGCGACCGGAGAUGAGCUCAUAGGCUCCUUUUAAUCGCAGCUAGGGGGAUUUAGGGAAUGGUUAGGUCAUUUUUAGUAUGAUUGGCUAGGUAAGCAGCAGUUACAUUAGUACAUGUCUAAUUGGUUACUAUACUAGUUUUUUCAAUUUAUGUUCAGGCCUUAGAGAAAUUCUAGGACCUGUUUCAGUCCUUGAGCUAGCUAUCUCUCCAAUAGAUUUCAGGGCCAUUGCUGAUUCAUGGCUGAUUCAUUGUCUGUGGUUUUUCCAAGGAGCCUUACCUGCCUCUUUGGGAAAUUGAAUGGCCUAGUUAUAAAACAGAGCGAGUUUCAGUCAGACUGCUCAAUAACCACCUUUUGUAAGACAAGGUCUGUCAUGCCUGGAACUCAUCAGUGCAGCGAGUCUUAAUUUCUGCCCCAGUUGCUCUGUCAGGGGUAAGAUCGCUGACAGAGCAACUUAAGUGAGAAAGGGCUGAUCUGGCUCACAGUUUCAAGUUACAGGCCUUCCAGGCAGGGAAGUCACAGCUGCAGGUGAGAGAACUGACCACCUUACAUCCACAGUCAGGGACAGAAAGCGAUUAAUUAAUGCAUGCACACCACUGCUCAGCUCACUCUCCCUUGCAUUCGGCUGAGGACCCAGCUCAUGAAAGAGUUCCACCCAUGUUCUAUCCAAAUUCUACAAAAUGGGUGGUCCCACACCAACCUAAACAGUUCAUCCUUGAGACUUCCUUUGCUAGGUAAAAGUCUACAUUGUUUCAAGUCAAUAAUUAAAAGUAACCAUCAUGCGGGGCUGUGGUGGCGCAAACCUUUAAUCCUAGCACUUAGGAAGCAGAGGCAGGUGGAUUUCUGAGUUUGAGGCCAGCCUGGUCUACAGAGUGAGUUCCAGGACAGCCAGGGCUACACAGAGAAACCCUGUCUCUAAAAAAAAACAACAACAAAAAAAAUAGAUAGAUAGAUAGAUAGAUAGAUAGAUAGAUAGAUAGAUAGAUAGAUAGAUAAUGGAUUAGCAGGGAGUCAUCCAUCGUUUCAUAAUCCUUCAAAGUGAAUCCUAGCAUGAAGACGGUCUCUGGGUAGCAAAGCAGCCUGUGGCAUGCCGUUGUGAUACGUAAGCUCAAUAGAUUCCCUCUGUACUGGCUGGUUGUGUGUGUCAAGUUGACACAGCUGGAGUUAUCACGGAGAAAGGAGCCUCCCUUGAGGAAACGCCUCCUGAGAUCCAACUGUAAGGCAUUUUCUCAAUUAGUGAUCAAGGGUGGGAGAGCCAUCCCUAGGCAGAUGGUCCUGGGUUCUAUCAGAAAGCAAGCUGAGCAAGCCAUGGGAAGCAAGCCAGUAAGCACCACCCCUCUACGGCUUCUGCAUCAGCUCCUGCUUCCUGACCUGCUUGAGUUCCAGUCCUGACUUCCUUUGGUGAUGAACAGCAUUGUGUAAAUAUAAGCUGAAUAAACUCUUUCCUCCCAAA